UACAGGGGGUGCAAACGUUGCUCGGAAUUAUUGGGCGUAAAGCGUGCGCAGGCGGUUUUGUAAGCCAGAUGUGAAAUCCCCGGGCUUAACCUGGGAAUGGCAUUUGGGACUGCAAGGCUUGAGUGCGGCAGAGGAGACUGGAAUUCCUGGUGUAGCAGUGAAAUGCGUAGAUAUCAGGAGGAAUACCGAUGGCGAAGGCAGGUCUCUGGGCUGACACUGACGCUCAUGCACGAAAGCGUGGGGAGCAAACAGG
rnacentral:rRNA from 1 species